rnacentral:rRNA from 1 species
AGUGAACGCUGGCGGUAGGCCUAACACAUGCAAGUCGAACGGCAGCACAGUAAGAGCUUGCCCUUACGGGUGGCGAGUGGCGGACGGGUGAGGAAUACAUCGGAAUCUACUUUUUCGUGGGGGAUAACGUAGGGAAACUUACUCUAAUACCGCAUACGACCUACGGGUGAAAGCAGGGGAUCUUCGGACCUUGCGCGAUUGAAUGAGCCGAUGUCGGAUUAGCUAGUUGGCGGGGUAAAGGCCCACCAAGGCGACGAUCCGUAGCUGGUCUGAGAGGAUGAUCAGCCACACUGGAACUGAGACACGGUCCAGGCUCCUACGGGAGGCAGCAGUGGGGAAUAUUGGACAAUGGGCGCAAGCAUGAUCCAGCCAUACCGCGUGGGUGAAGAAGGCCUUCGGGUUGUAAAGCCCUUUUGUUGGGAAAGAAAAGCAGCAGGUUAAUACCACGCUGUUCUGACGGUACCCAAAGAAUAAGCACCGGCUAACUUCGUG